CGGGGAUUAGCUCAGUUGGAAGAGCGCAUGGUUCGGGACCAUGAGGUCGCCGGUUCAAGUCCGGCAUCCCCGA
rnacentral:tRNA from 1 species